CGGCUCGAAUUACGUGACGUGUGCCGGCAGAGGGCGGAGGGAGCGCCAUUUUGAAAAAAAAAGAAAGGAAAAGAAAAGUGACAACACUCUACAGGAAGCGUUUCUGUGCUGUUCUUGGUUUCAAAUACAAGAGGAAGGAAAAAGGAAGAUGGAGCCACAGAUGAACUGGACCCAGGAAGAGACUCGGGCGCUGCUGGGCGUAUGGUCAGAGGAGAAAAUCCAGAAAGACCUGAAGGAGUCCUUCAGAAAUGAGAACGUUUACAGGGAAGUGUCGGGCAGGCUGGCCACCAUGGGGAUGAAUCGCUCUGCAAAACAGUGCAGGGAGAAAAUAAAGAAGCUCAAACAGGAAUACAGGAGGACAACACAGCACAGCGACAGAAGUGGAGCCGUCAGAAGGUCCUUCAGGUGGUACGACGCCAUGGACACCAUCAUGAACGACAAACCUGCUGCCACAGACGAGUCGGCUGCUAUGAUGCUCGAAUUCAUGAUUUCAGAUGUGGAGACAGAUUCUCCCUCUAUGACAGACUUUCCUGAAAGCUGCACUACACCAGGCCAUGUUCUACCAUUUACUGUGCCUGGUCCAACACCUGGUCCCAUGGAGAACCCACAAGUACCUGAUUUCUACUCUGUUCAACUAGAAGACUGUGAUGGUCCCUCGAGAAGCUCCGCAGUGACCUCCACAGAAGUGCAAACAUUGGUCAAAGAUACAACGUUGUGUUGUUGGUCAAAUACAGAGGUCCAGGCAUUGUUGACGUUUUGGGCAAGUCCCAAAGUUCAAAAAGAACUUCUCCUCAAUGUGAGAAAUAACAGAGUUUACACCUACCUCAGCGCCAAACUGACAUCACUUGGAUUUAACAAGGCACCAAAGAAGUGCAGGGAGAAAAUCAAAAAACUGAAGCAGGAGUACAAGAGAAUCAAGAACGGUCAUCAUAUGGGUGGGAGUAGCAGUGUCUGGUUUUCCAUUAUGGAUGAAGUCCUCAGUUCCCAGACUGCAGCAGUGAAACAUUCAGAAACAGCAGAUUCUUCCUCCACAGAGUCCUCUCUACCCACUCAGUCAGUUCCUGUGGAUGUCAACACGGAUGAUGAAUCCCAGUGGCUGCCAGAUGAAAUCCAAGUGCUCAUGACCCUCUGGUCACAACCAAACAUUCAGAAACGGCUUCUCACCUCAACAGACAAGAAUGAAGUUUUCACAUAUCUCAGCAGUGAACUGGCUUUAGUGGGAUUUACCAAGACGCCACAUCAGUGCAGUCUGAAAGUGAAUAACCUGAAAGAGGAGUACAAAAGAAUCAAACAGCUGGGACUAUUUGGGGAUGUUAAAAGCGACUGGUUUACGAUUUUGGACGGUGUCCUCUGCCCUGAUGGAGAGAAGUGGAAAGAAAUGGAUUCAUCUAUGGUGCUGACAGAAGCUAAAUCACCAGAAGACAAGUGUGUGAAUGAUACAAAGCAAGAUGUUUGGACGUCAGAUGAAGUGAAAGUGCUGCUCACUAGAUGGGCAGAAGAGAGCGUCCAGGAGCAGCUCAGAUCCACUAAGAGAAAUGAGAGAGUGUUUGCUCAGCUGAGCUCAGAACUCGCCACUCAUGGCUUUGAUAAGACCACCAGCCAGUGCAGGUCAAAAAUACAUCUGCUGAAACAAAGGUACAAAAGGAUUAAGGAGCAGAAAGACUCUAAAAAGCAACAAAGCAGAUGGUUUUCAAUCAUGGAUAAAGUCCUUGGCAGCCGCAAGUCAAAGGUUGUAGCAGCUGAAGGCACAGGUCUGGACCGUCCGUCUCUACAGGCAUCACAGCCACACAUACCUGAAACAGCAGAAGGUUGCCAUUUGUCCAUCUCCUCAUUGUGUCUUCUGGUUCCACACUUGCGUCUGAUGAGUGCCUUUGCCUGGCAGGUGGUCCAGUGUCGUAAUGUGGCACAUUAUGGAAAGGUGGAGGAGCUGGUGAGGUUGGUGACGGAGUUAGUUCCAGAGCUUCUGACUCCCAGAGAGAAAGUACAGCUCCUGCUCAGACUACGAGCAAGGCUUGUGCUGGAGUUGUGUCUGAGUGAGAGCACAGCCAACCUGCUGAAUAUCCAGCCCCACCUGAAGGUCAUUGAAGACCUCACAAUAAGCUGCUGCUCUGAUCAGGAGGAGUUGGAGGAGUUGGAAAAAUCAAAGUCGAACUUUGUGGAGGUCGUUCAUACUUUGCUCGAAGACAUGGAUGAGAGAAAGAUAUUUUUUAAGGAAGUCUUUCCCAUCCACUAUGGCCAACAAUAUGAAGUCACAUUAAACACGUUGGUAUGGAAAUUUAUCUCCAGACUGGACAAUCUAUUGCCCAUCCCUGAUAUUAAGCAGACUGCAGAGUGGCUCAGCACCAGUCCCUCUAUUAUGGAGGAAUGUGAACGACUUGUUUUGGAACCACAUCAACUGAAGGUGCUACUUGACUUCCAUCAGCAACAGUCAGAAAACACAAACCAAUCCUUCUCUCAAGCACAGAAUAUGUUUUUACCUGCGCUGUCUCUUCAGUCCAAAGCAAACUGGAAGCAGCUUGCUUCAGAGCAACAAGAAAUGUUAACAGAUGAUGAAGGGCAGUUUGACUACAGUGAAGAUGAAGAGCCAGUGGAGGAAAACCAAAGUAACAAUGAACCAACUGUGGAGGAAGACCUGACAUUAAAAGAUGAACAAAGGGAUGGCAUGACAACUGCAAAUGCCCCAAAUUUAAAUCACGCCCCUUUACACCUUCAGAGCUGCUCACUGUGUCCGUACUCUGACAACAAAGCGUCAGAACUCCUGAAUCACAUCAGAAAGGAGCAUCUGAUCCAGGAGGCCAUCGAUCUUUUCUCUAUAGAACCUGGAGAAGACGUUCUUCAGAAAGUCAACACUGAGACUCUCAGGAGCGCAACGAACACUUGUCCUGGGGGGACACCAGAAGUCUCUCUUGUGUCUCGAGUUGAUAAGAUUUCGAAACCCAGGCCCUAAUAAAGGGCAGAAUGUCAGGAAGACCUAUCAAAGGUUCCCCGACCAGAGCUCUCAGCAGUAGUGCCAACACAAAGCCAGAGCAGGCUCCAUACUGGUUCACCCACCGGGGUAAGAAGAAGAUGCAUAUGACCUGGGGAGCCAUCAUUGAAUACAAGACGUCUGCGCUGACCACCCAGAACAGACUGUUACCAGUAGCAGUAUGUCAUCUAUCCAGCAGCCUGCAUCUUCAGGCUCCAGCUUGCCGAGCCAGUUCUCCUGGUGCACAUUGGUCACUGCAGCGACAGUGAAGUUGGCAGCAUGGGGACUCGUCAGGAUAAACGGUUUCGCCCUCCCACCAUUGCGACUUCGCUGCGGCUCCCAGGACUCUUGUUCUCUUCAUGUCUGGCCUUCUUGGAGGCCCAGAUACCUGUUCCCAGUAUGAUCAAGUAAAACACUCCCAUGGACAGCAGCCCGAGCCAGUUUGCCGCCAUCUUCAGAGUCUGUGGUGAUGGGACACCAUGGAGAAAAGACACAUCCCUUUCUUUAGUAGUGUAAUGACGAGGAAGGACAGAGACGCAUGUGGUGAAGACGGCUGAAGAGACGGGAACGGUGGAUUUCUGCCCGCAAAGUAUGCCAGAACUAUUGAUGCAGUUGGCUCCAGUGGAUUUAAUGGAUGGCGCCAAUCAUUUACAACGCAGAUGGUAAAAGUGGGCUUUCAUCCACUUAAGUAGAUGCAAAGAAAACAUUUUGACUAUAUAGUGAGAUUAAAGUAUCUUCUGUUUUCAGAAGAACGCCAAAACUUUUAAGGUUCAUUACCCUGCAAGAUAGAAAAAGAGUGAGGUAGGUCAGAUGUUACCUGAGUGUGAGACCCAGAGUCAGAGGGGAUGGAUGUGAACCACACUGGUCCAUUUAACCCAAAAACCAUCCUGUCACUUAAAACUCUGGGAUUUUUCCUCAAACUGCUGCUGCUGCUCCAGAAUGUGAUACACAAUCAAAGUUUAAUGCAACAUUGUCUCAUAAGGACAGAAGCUGAUGGGUUUCCAAACUUCACGUCAGAAGCAGGAUCCCCUUUCUUUUUUAGGCUCCCCGUCCCUGCAGGACACACACAGCUAUCCCUGGCUGAUGGAGAUGCUGCUUUGCCUCACUGGAUGGUCUUUAGAAAACAGAGUAACCGUCUGGCUGGCUUGGCUCUGACUGAGGAUUGUGGGAUAUAUCGCCUUAAAGUGUCUGUGACUGGUGAGAGGUGUACGGCCCACUUUCAUCUGCACAUCCUGAACAGAACAGGGACCAACAGGAAUCCAGUACGCGACACUUUAUCCUGCUCUGAAGAGGAAAUGACCACCUGGGCGACCCUUCUCCUUCAGCUCAACCCUGCGACACUUGAUGCCAACCAGCGCAUCCGUUUGGUCACCACUAUGGCCAGCUAUCUGCGUCUACUGCUCAGCUAUGUCUCUCUAUUUUCACAAAGAAAACCUUUCAUGCUAAAACAAGAGAAGCUCAGAGUUUGUAGACAAGGCGGACUUGCUGAGAAACAAGCUGUUGUAGGAGACGCUGCUGAGCUCGUGUGGCUCGUCGGUUGUCAAAAAGAGGAACGACUGUUGGAUUUGGCUAAAGUACUGGAGCACAGCAUGAAGACAGGAAGUUUGGCAAAGUUACUGGGAGCUCCAGUGUUGGGAUGGAGGGUGAUAUGUGCAGCCGGUGAGGUGCGAUAUAAAGUUAAAAGAGACUUGCAAAAGCAGAGAUUUACACCGACUCCUCAUGCGAUUGUUCCGCCUCCAACUUGGAUCCAGCAGAGUGUGGAACUUAAACACAUAUAUGCGCUUCCUUUAAAGCUGGAACCAAGUUUGUCAGCUAUUUUGUUUCAUAUGAACCACAUAGGGACGACACACAUAAAGGAUUCAGCUGUAAAUGCUGUCAUCUUUGACAGACAGACUUUCCUAGAUUCAUCCAAAAAAGUGUCCAAGUUGACUUGUGACGUGCAUGCCUUUAAGAUGCGUAACUCUCCACAACAUAUAAAGCAAACUGAGCUGCCUCCAUCACAAUUCAAACCUCUUACUGAAGUGACUGGUUGCAUUGGACGAGUAUCAGCAGUUACAUUCUGGACCACAGAAUUAUUCGAUUCACCCUUUUUGCCCAAACAUCCGUCAACACUUGGUCACUCCACGCUGAACUUGGAAACUUUCUCAACACCACACAGUGUUUACUCCUCGCUGCCUCUGACCCGGGCCUCUCUCAGCGUCACCUCCACACUGACACAUGAAGCCGCCGACACAGAUUCGCUCGCCAUUCGUCUGACCCGGCGACCUCCCCAGAGGGAAACCCCCUUCUGGAGCGAAUCCUGGCCAGCCGACCGCACUGAGUCAGAGAGUCAGUCCUCAGUGAGCUCACAGGGUCACACUGUCCAUAAAGAAGAACCCAUUAAAGACCUCAGUGCUGCCAAAUCAGCGCCCCCUCGUCUCCCAUCUGUUUUCCAUCCACUUUCUAUACUGAUUUAUUAUGCCCCCAUACUGAGCUCCUCAUUUAAGACAAUACCAUCGCUGCCAUCAGCAAACAAAACACCCCCUCCUGUGCUGUUCCCAGAUGUGUCACCACACAUAAUAAUGGAGCAGUUAUCAGGAACGCGGCCUUUUGGUACAAAUCGAAACGUGUCCUCAGCUACAUCUGGGGUGAAUCAGCCUUCGAUGUCUCAGCUGAAUGUAACAGAUCAGGAUGUGUCACCGACCUCGUUAGCGGGUCAGCUGAUGAUGUCUGCACAAACUGAACUCGAGUCUUCGCUGUCAACAUCUUUGCUGUUCAGUCUGGAGCCCUCAGUGAUGACAUUAACUCCAGCUUUACCCUCCGAGUUUGGCGUUUUCAGUAGGCAGCAUGAGACACCUGAUAUCACAGAUCCAUUAUUUACUGAACAGUCUCUCAAAGUCUCAUCAUCUCAGAUGCAGUUGCUUCAGGUGUUUUCCACACCUUCAUUUCCUGAUGUUGGUGUUUCUUCUUCGCAGCAGAACCUUGAAGAUUUAAAGACAGAAUCAAGGACAGAAGUUUAUGUGGAUCAAAAUGGACUAGCACAGACAUUACAUUUAGGAGUUGUACUGGCGUCACUAUUCCCAACGUCACUUUCUUUAUCAGACCCUCCUCAAAUGAUUUCUGUCCCAUCGAUGUUCCAGGACAAAUCUUUUACAUCUUUACAAUCCAGCAGUGGAAGAACGCAUGCCAUGCUGUCAGUGGAACAAACUAUCCAAACACUGCUGCUUGAGAAAUCCCAAUUGUUUGAAUCCUCCAAACCUUUUGCCACUGGAAUCACAACAAGCACAUUUUUCAAUAUCACACUCCUGACUAGAAUUUCACCAGUCCUGAAAACAGUAGCAAAGACUUCUCCUUUGCCAGUAAUUUGGACUACAAGACCAGCAUCCGAGGGAAACGUUGAUCCUACUGCUCCCUCUACUGCUCAGGAACCAUACGCUACAUCCUCCAGUCUACUAGCUCCGAGUUUACAGCCUUCAUUUCCAUUAUGUGGUGUAUUUAUUGCACAGGAUGUCAAUAAUUGUCCUCUAAAAAUCAAAAGCACCUCUCUAGAAUGUACAUUGGAGCAUGUUCUGACCUUUCUGACCAGUUACCUUCCUGGCCAGAAAUAUCCGACUGAUUCGACCAAGACUUUGGUGAAACAUUAUUCAUCACACCUCCUCUCAAGAAAUGUUUUAGAGGAGCACACCAAGUCGAAUGAAUUUGCAUCUUUUCCAUCUUUCAGUGAAAUGUCAGAAAUAAAUCGUGUAACCGUUAAUCAACCAA